rnacentral:rRNA from 1 species
UACGGGGGGGGCAAGCGUUGUUCGGAAUUACUGGGCGUAAAGGGCUCGUAGGCGGCCAACUAAGUCAGACGUGAAAUCCCUCGGCUUAACCGGGGAACUGCGUCUGAUACUGGAUGGCUAGAGAUUGGGAGAGGGAUGCGGAAUUCCAGGUGUAGCGGUGAAAUGCGUAGAUAUCUGGAGGAACACCGGUGGCGAAGGCGGCAUCCUGGACCAACACUGACACUGAGGAGCGAAAGCCAGGGGAGCAAACGGG